rnacentral:rRNA from 1 species
GAUGAACGCUAGCGGCAGGCUUAAUACAUGCAAGUCGAGGGGCAGCACGGUGUAGCAAUACACUGGUGGCGACCGGCAAACGGGUGCGGAACACGUACACAACCUUCGGUUAAGAGAGGGAUAGUCUAGAGAAAUUUGGAAUAAUACCUCGUAAAGUAAGCAGGUGGCAUCACUUACUUACCAAAGCUCCGGCGUUUAACCACGGGUGUGCGUCUGAUUAGGUAGUUGGUAGGGUAACGGCCUACCAAGCCAACGAUCAGUAGCUGAUGUGAGAGCAUGAUCAGCCACACGGGCACUGAGACACGGGCCCGACUCCUACGGGAGGCAGCAGUAAGGAAUAUUGGACAAUGGACGCAAGUCUGAUCCAGCCAUGCCGCGUGAAGGAUGAAGGUCCUCUGGAUUGUAAACUUCUUUUAUUGGGGGCGAAUAGCUGCUAUUCCUAGCAGUAUGACAGUACCCAAAGAAUAAGCACCGGCUAACUCCGUGCCAGCAGCCGCCGUAA